UGUUUGAGCUGCUCUGAGGUAGGCAGUCACACAGCCAGGAAGUGGUAGAACUGUGUUUCAAACUUUUCUGUUGGGCACUGAAAACCUAUGCUCUGCUGCUGCUAAUCACAUGCUUCGCAGAUUGGACCAGAGAUGUCAGGGGCUGGGUCAUCCUCAUUGUGGUGCGCCCAGCACCAGAACAGUCAGCAGUGGAGGAGAGUCCACCAAUGCUGCCUGAAUGUAGUUAUUUUAAAACACAGAGUGACAUCUGAGUGUUUGACAUGUGGCAUGUGAAUGGGGAAGAAACUCUACAACUAUCCUAGAGCCAGUGACACCCCCUGAGUCAAGGCUUAAAACCAGAUAGUAGCAGACAUUGAUCCCUGUAGUUACAGUUCCUGGUUUACUUGUCAGCAUGGCGUUGCUUGUCAACAUUUCUCAGCAAGCUUUGAAGUCAGACACCUUUCAGUGAUACAGGUAUGUUAGACUGCACCCCAGAGCAGGUCUGAUUUUGUCUUUGGGCUCCAGAGAUGCUUAACCCUUUAAGAAAAGCCUAAUAGAGGAAUAGCUAGAUUGGCAAAAAUAGAACUUGGCAGUGGGGGAAUAAUUUUGCACUAUUGGUCAUGGGGUUCCUUUAGAUCAUCAUAUUCUAGAGUGUGUGUAAAUGGAAUCAGUAUGAAUCGGUAGCCCUAGACCGAGAUCUCCAUACACCUGCCCUGUCCCUGUGCAAAGGAGCGCUCAGCUCUUCCUCCCUUCCUCCUCUUUUCUUUUCUCCAGGAAGAGAUAGGUCCCCUCAGUUUGUUCUCAGGUCUGGCGAAGAGACAAGCUGGCUGCCGCUGAAAAGGAAAAUGUCCUGAGAGAUGACAAGUGAAUUUGUGUCUGAGCCUGGAAAAUAAUUUUAAAUUGGAAGCUGGGGUUCCUACAGGAUUUGUCUAUCUCCGUUUUCCCACCUGCCUGCUCCUCCCUUGAACCUCUCAACUCACCAUCAAAAAGGGCAAAAGGGAUCACAGCUCCUACAGGGCCUGACUGCCCUCAAAGUCAGAGCUCAAGGCAUCUUGCCCCCUCCUCACUGGUGACAGGCUGUUCCUUCCUGGCACAGGUGCUGGAGGGAGGCCAGGGAGCAGUGAGGUUGCACGGCAGCCUUGGCACAGAGCCCUGGCUGCUGUCUGGGCAUGAAGCUGGGCUCUGAUACCAGGAGGGGAUUCUAGCUCCCUGAGCCAGAAUUGCCUGUGCAGAGACCACUCUGCUGCUCAAGCCCUGGUGGGUCCCACUGCUUCUGCGGGUUCAGGAGCAGAAAUGAAUCUGGAAGGAAUGGCAGGAGCAAGUAGAAGUUGCUGGGGCACAGGCGAGCUGUGUCUGCAUGUGCAGAAGCAGCCCGUGGGGGUGUGCUUAGGGUGGAGGACAAUGGCAUGCAUGUCCAGCAAGUGGACAGAACAGACUUUACCCCAAUUCCUUGCUCCACUGUGGGACUAGGGGCCUCAGCCCUAAGGACAACCUCCCUCCAUCACCAACCAAGGGCCUCAAAUCCAGAUGAUGCAAUGUCUCUAACAUGGGGCCCUCCCCACCCCAAAAUGAAAGCUCCACCAGGCUGCCCUCAGACCCAUCACUAUUCAGUAGGGCCUCCUGUUGCCACUUUUUCAACAAUAUUUUUCAGCCUCUGACCCUAGAGUAAUCUCAGCUUCCUUGUACUCAGUUCAGAAGAUGUCUGUUAUUCAGGAUUCUGAUGUAGAGGUUUGAUAAGAGAGGCCUCAGGCCUUCUGAAUUAGUAAACCAACAGGGUCAAAGGAUUAAAAAACCAAGAAGCACGAAGAGAGCCACACCCCGAGAGGUGGCAGAGCACCGGCUCCUGUCACCUGAAAUCUUCCAGGAUAUUUAGAAAUGUGUCAGUGAGUUCUCACUACAUUUACCUUGGAUGUCUUGUUUGUUUUCUAAAUUAAAGUGUCCUAUAGCACCAACAAAAUCAGAUCCAUGUCUUAUUGAAUCUGCUGUAGUUUCUGUGCUUGGCUUGGUGUUGCUUUCUAUUUCUAUGUCACUUUUCUCAGUUAGUGGAGGUAAAAAUGUCACACAGCAAACUUGUCUAGUAAUACAGUGCGGGAAGCUGGAGAGAUCUCCUUCAGAGCUGUCCUGUCGCACUCCAGCCAAGGCACAGGUGUGGGAGCUGCACGGGGAGGAAGGGCUGUCUUCAUGGGCGGCCGCUUAAGGCCAGGCCGGCAGAGUUCUGUCCACAGCAGUUCACCUAGACCCAGUCCUGAAGCCUGUGACUGUUUAAGCAGCCUGUUUCAAAUGCUUUCUGUGAGCAAAUCUAUUCAGUGCUUUCCUAAAAGGUACUGGGGUGGGGGUGAAGGCCACAGGCAGGGUGGUAUAUGCGGGCAGUUUCUACCAGCUAAAAAGCACAGAAGUAAUGCAAAGCUGCAGGAAAUAAAAGUAUGAUGUAAGGAAACACUAAGUGGACUCCAUGGGCUCAGGGUAUAACUGGACAAGCUCUGGGUUCCAUACUGGGAUGCUGGUGUCACUUAGAAAUCCCUCUCCCAAGGCUCAUUGGAGGCUUGCUUGGGAUUCAGUGUGUGUUAUUUGUAGUCAGUCCAGGAUUCAAGUACUUCUUUAUUAGCUCUGUGAUGUUGGGAGGGCACUCAAACUCUCCAAGCCUCAGUUUCCACAUCUGUAAAAGGGAGCCACUCAGCCUGUCACAGAGGAUUAACAUGGGCGGCUUAAAGUUUAGGAAUACACAGCAUGUCCUUGGCAUUGAGCAUGCACAGGGCUCCCUCACCUUCCCAGUUUGGACUGGGGAUCAGAGAGCCCCGCAGAUGGGUCUGCUUCUAAGUCCUAGCCCAGCCAGGUGGCUCCACUUCUCUGAGUGUUCUUUGUGACAGGAUACAGAAGUUGGGAAUCCAUAUGCCGACUGAACAGAUGUGGGCUAUGUUGACUGUGUUGACUGACAUGUGGGCUGCAGGAGCAAGUGAGCCCCGUGACUCAGGGGUACAGUGUGGGAAGAGGAAUUGUUUUCAUGAGCCAGGGCUGGGAGAGAAGAGCCGAGAACAUGAAGAUGUAGCUGGCCCGAUCCUCGCCAAGCACCCCAAGGGUACACAGCACUUUACCCUGAGCCAGAAUUCCCAGGACAAGGGCCCAGCCACUUCUCCAACCCCACAGGCUCCGUCCUGGCCCCGGCUACCAGAUGCACACCAUCCUCUGGGUGUCAUUUUGGGUGUUCCUGUGUAACAUGAAGACUCUGCUAAGAAACAUAUUGAGUGACACUGUUGUCAAGAGGGAUCUCACAGGGCUGUUCCAUUGGCCCUGGGAGAAAAAGAUGUACACCAAGAAAUUAUUUUUCUGAUGAAAUUGAAAUUCUGUCUAUCUAACCAAGUCAAGGUAGAAAGUAAACCUUGAUUCCAUAUUAUGCACAUUAGACCUGAAAGAGAAGAAUGAGCCCUUGGGUUAACGAACCCAAGGUUUGUUAGGCAUUUGUGCUGGCUUCACAGUGGCCCCAAGAGAAAAGCAAAGAAUGGUCAAAAACCACUGAGAAUGUGAAAAACCCCUAAGAAUUUUGCUCUCCUCCUUUACCAAAUUAUUUGCCCAAGCCGCUGAUAAUGAACUAACUGCCUAAAUCCCUUGACUCCCAUCCACCUCCCCAUUUACACUUGUGGUUUGUCAGCAAUGGAAAAGAAAGGGAGGCUGAAAUGCAGGGGGUCAUGGGUGGUCUUCACUCUGGAUGGUAAAUAAAUGAAACUCAUCUGUCUUUCAUGGCUGGAAGCAAAAGUUCAAACAGUGGGUUCAAGAUGUACUCCAGUGUCUCAGCCAAAUUGGUUCACAAGCACAUUAUGGGUAGAAAAACCUGGCCAAUAAAUCAGCACUGAUUAUCUACUAUGUGGCAGGCACGGUAUUAGGCUUUGCGUAUACAAGGUCCCUGCCUUCAGAGAACUCAGGGUCUGGUGAGUAAGAUAGAUUUUAGGCAACGAAAGACACCAAACUUUAUACAAUUUGCAGAUUGUGAUAAAUCAAUAGCUGUUAUGAGAGAGCAACAAUGGGAAUUGGGAUACCUAUGGGGUAUGGUUAAGAAAGAUCUUUCUGUGGAGGUGGCAGUUGAAAUACAGCCUGCAACAGUGCCUCUCAAAUUUUAAUGUGCAUCAGAAUCACCUGGAGAGUUUGUUAAAAACAUGAAAGAAAAAACAGUUUCUGGGUCCAAAUCCCAGAGUUUCUGAUUCAGUAGGUGUGUAGUAGGUACCAAAGAUUUGCAUUUCUAACAUGAGAGUGAUGCUGAGACUGCUGGUGUAGAGAACACACUUUGAGGACCACGAACCUGGAGGAUCAGUAGGAAUUAGCUGGGUAAAGAGUGGGGGGAGAGUGAGGGAGCAGCAUGUGCAAAUGCCCUCAUGUGGGAACAAUCUGGGGGGGCUUCAGGUAAUGGAAAGGAUUGUCUGCAAGGCAGUGAAUUCGUGGCUUGAGAUGAUGUUAGAGAUGAACCUGGCCUUUAUCCCCAUCCUGAAACUCACUCCAACAGAGCCACCUCCAAUGGUAGCAUGCCUAAGAAGAAUGGUUCCAUUGACCCUUGGAUAUGUCCUACUGCAACUAGGACAUACCCCAGCUAAUGGAAUAGUGUGACCCUGAGAUAUUGUGAAGAUUCACAGUGACAAGGUAUGUAAAGGGCUGAGUGCAGAGCAAACGAUCAGUCUAUUCUUGAUGCCUUUGCUCCCUCCAUUCCCUGGCUUGAAACAUGGCCCUAUUUUAGUUAUAAGAGGACAUCUUCCUAAAGUGGUACUAAGGUGCUGCAAGCAAAAAGAGUUAAUGUGGAAGUGGUCCUUCAUACCUGAACUGGGAUCUGAUUAAAUAGUUGGCUAUAGAGAAGAAAUCUAGAUUCCACUCCCAAACAGCAGGUAUAUGUGUGUAUUUUCCUACAUUUCAUGCAAUUCAUUAAUGUCACAGGACAUUAAACCAAAGAAAACAUGGGUUGAGUCUUUGGAGCCAAAGUGUACCACUGGCAUUAGGCCAAUUCAAUUCAGAUCGUGUUUACUGUGCAUUCACUCUGUGCCAGGUGCUAUGGUAGGUGUCGGGAAGACAAAGACGGAUGAUCAAGGCUGGUCCCUCCUCUUCAGGAGCUCCUCAUUUCACUGGUAGAUGGCCACACAAAUAACACAGCAGUGGAAUAAAAGCCACAGCAAGGGUCUGUGCAAAGGGCAAUAAAAACUCAGGAGAGAGAAGUUCUGCCUGGAGAAGUCAGAGAAGGUCACAUACAAAAAGUGACAUUGGAGCCAAGCCUAGAAUGGAAACAUGUAGAGAAUGAGCAAAACUGAAGGAUGAAUGAACAAAUUUCCUUUAAAAAGUUUUUUGUUAUUGUUUUUUUAAGCUCUGACCUAAAUCAUUAUGAGCUUCUAGAAGACACAUGGCCACAUGGUGUCGAAUUUGAUUUAAAAUAUUGCAUAAACUUAUAUAUAGAAACACAUAUGGAAACAAUCUGAAAAUAUUUCUCCUCAAAUAUAGUGCCAUUUGCUUUUAUGAAUUUGCUAUUUUUGGAUGAAAAUGUGAAAUAUGGUUUGGUCUUCUGAGACUCAGAAGAAAUUAUAUCACCAUUUGGUUGUUAAUUCACUAAUUAUUUAGUCAGUCAACAAAUAUUUAGUUAGAAUUCUCAAUUUUUGAGGCAUUGUAAUAGGUCCUUUAGGGGCAACAAAGAUAUGUAAGUUAUUGUCCUACCCACAGGACUCUUUGAGGCUUAGGAGUGAGAAAAACAUCUGAACACAAAUAAUUCUAACACAAGUGGGUGGUAAAUGAUAUGAAUGAAUACAAACAAAAUGCUCCUGGUAUCUAGAGGAAAACAAGCCAUUUUUGAUUGGGAUAAGCACAGAAAGCUUGGCCUUUAUGGAGAAGCCAUUUGCACUAGGCCUGUAGGAUGGGAAGGGAUUAGACAUAUAGAA